UACGUAGGAGGCGAGCGUUGUCCGGAGUUACUGGGCGUAAAGGGUGCGCAGGUGGCCGUGCGCGUGGGGAGUGAAAUCGCCUGGCUUAACUGGGGGCGUGCGGGCGAUACGGGCAGACUGGAGUACUGCAGGGGAGACUGGAAUUCCUGGUGUAGCGGUGGAAUGCGCAGAUAUCAGGAGGAACACCGGUGGCGAAGGCGGGUCUCUGGGCAGUAACUGACGCUGAGGAGCGAAAGCGUGGGGAGCGAACAGG
rnacentral:rRNA from 1 species